rnacentral:pre_miRNA from 1 species
AGUGCAAUUGCUUGGUUAUAUGGUAGUUACAUGCUUAGUUUUUAAAGAAAUUCCCAAACUGCUUUCUAAAGUGUCUGUAUCAUUUUACAUUCCCACUAGCAAU